GAUGAACGCUAGCUACAGGCUUAACACAUGCAAGUCGAGGGGAAACGAUAUUGGAAGCUUGCUUCCGAUAGGCGUCGACCGGCGCACGGGUGAGUAACGCGUAUCCAACCUGCCCACCACUUGGGGAUAACCUUGCGAAAGUAAGACUAAUACCCAAUGACGUCUCUAGAAGACAUCUGAAAGAGAUUAAAGAUUUAUCGGUGAUGGAUGGGGAUGCGUCUGAUUAGCUUGUUGGCGGGGUAACGGCCCACCAAGGCUACGAUCAGUAGGGGUUCUGAGAGGAAGGUCCCCCACAUUGGAACUGAGACACGGUCCAAACUCCUACGGGAGGCAGCAGUGAGGAAUAUUGGUCAAUGGGCGAGAGCCUGAACCAGCCAAGUAGCGUGCAGGAUGACGGCCCUAUGGGUUGUAAACUGCUUUUAUAAGGGAAUAAAGUGAGUCUCGUGAGACUUUUUGCAUGUACCUUAUGAAUAAGGACCGGCUAAUUCCGUGCCAGCAGCCGCGGUAA
rnacentral:rRNA from 1 species